rnacentral:lncRNA from 1 species
GGAACAAAACACCGUCAUCAUAUCAACUUUUUUUUAAAUUCAUCGUAAAAUACAGAUAAAACGCAUUCAUUUAAGCUAAUUUCGUCAAAUGGAAGAACUAUUCUCGGAGUUGCCGGAGAUUCAGUUCAAAGAGGAGGAACAGAGAUGUUCCCUAGUUAUAUGUCUUAUUAGUAAUCAAGGACAAAUCAGCAACUGUGACAAAUCAGAGGCCGCCCCUGGGUUUGUCAGUAGGACUCUACGUCCUGCCAUGUUUCCAACAAGUAUCUUUCUUGGCUUGAAGGGAACUGCUACGACCUCGUGACCAAGGACCAGUGCCCCACGAGCAGCUCUGAUCUUGAUACGAUUUUUUGCCUGGGCUACCUUGAGGCAUAAACUAAUAGACGUCUCACACAAAUAUGGCAAGCCUGGUGGGCGCCAUCAAGGAUCACUUCGUAUCUAUGCCCAGGGACCUCGUCAUCAACUCCUCUUCCCGCUUCAGAGCGCGUAUCGAGGCUGAUGGCAAUUAUAUAAAUACAUUUUCAGACCAACUACCCGGAUAUGAAUGUGUUGUUCCAGCAGGAUGAUGCGCCUGCAUACACGUCCAAAAAGGUCAAAUCAACAUGGUAACCCAGAAAAUUUGAAGAAUGUUUUGGAGGAGAGAAAAAAUAAUGCUCAUAUUUGAUCAACUACAAUCAGAAGUGACAGGGAGGAAGGAGAAAAAGAUAUAAUCAAGGACAUUUACUAUAAUUACUCGGAUGUCUAGCAAUGACUUACAAUUAUAACUUCGUAACAAAUCCUCAGGGGUACACUCCCUAGUAUCAUACAUAGUAUUAAAAUAAUUUAUGUGUGUGUCUGAUGUACGUUCCCUUUGGAAAAACAAUGAUAAAACGCAUUUAUUUUCAAAAUUGAGACAGUUAAAUACUUUAGACGUACAAAUAAAAUUACAAAUACGUAGGGCUCUAUUUCAUUCUGAUCAAAACAGAUUCCUGGGCUCUAGAGGGCAAGUUGUAUUUUUUGUUAAUAAGUUGAUUGUUUUUUCGAUUCAAAAAUACACCAAAAAAUUAAAAAUCCGAAAAACGAAUUAUUGCACAAACGGAAAAAGUGAGCACAUAUAACAUUGAUAGUGAGUACGAAUUAAAAAGGGAGUUAGGCAGAUGAAGGAAGAAGAAUAUUAGCGAGUUAGUCUUUGAAUGCAUCUUCAUUAUGGUUGAAGGAGGAACAUAUUUCUAAUUAUAAUGGAUAAAAGGUAUGGACUAACUUUAAAUGUUGUUUAUCGACAAUAUUUUACUAAAUUCUGGAAGUAUUUAACGAAUGAAUAAAAUAAAUAAUAUGGGUAAGUCCAAUGAUAAUAUAAUAAUGAUGGAUCAUCCUCUUCUCGCACCGUUUAAAGCGCAAAAAGGAAAAAAGUGUUUUGUGACGUCAUCGAAUCGGCAAAUUUCGAUCAUUUAAUAUAAUAUACAUAUUUAAAAUAAAUAAAAAUGACUUACGUCCGUUCACAAAUGAAAAUCAAAUAAAGAGGACAAAAGAAUUGAAUCUUA